UCUUUGGAGAGUUUGAUCCUGGCUCAGGACGAACGCUGGCGGCGUGCCUAAUACAUGCAAGUCGAGCGG
rnacentral:ncRNA from 1 species